rnacentral:lncRNA from 1 species
CAGGAAUGCGUUCUCAACACAGCGAUUUCCUGAAUACCCAAGAGACUCAGGCAGUAAAAGGCUGAAGGCCAGACAACAAGGCACUGGAUCUAGGACAGGGGAAAAUGGCUGCUCCGUUUUCGAGAUCCGUCUGGGCAGCUGACUUUGCAGAUGGGAUCUACUGGUUGCAUUUCUAAGCUUGAGAGAUCAUCUUCUCUUUACCUUGAAGAUGCAAUGGAAAUGAUGCCUGGAUGACAGUGGUGGGACCAAUCUCCAACACUCGGCUGGAUACCUCUUCUACCAAAUCAGGUCUGGAAACAGACACUUGAGCAAGAGGUGUUGGAACCAGUGUUUAAAUUGUGAAAGAUCAUUGCUUCAAGAUGCUGGGACGGCUCUGACAACGAAGAAGGAAAGACAUCAUGGAAGAUUUUUUUUCUCCACAGAAGAAAAGAACACUGACAGCAAGAAAAAUAUCUGUGUGUUCUCUAAGCUGAGCAGUUGAAGAUGAUCAGAUCAGAAUAAAUUAAUUGGAUAGAGAAAGAAGCA